GAUGAACGCUGGCGGCGUGCCUAAUACAUGCAAGUCGAGCGACCAGACGAGGAGCUUGCUCCUCUGACGUUAGCGGCGGACGGGUGAGUAACACGUGGAUAACCUACCUAUUAGACUGGGAUAACUUCGGGAAACCGGAGCUAAUACCGGAUAAUAUAUUGAACCGCAUGGUUCAAUAGUGAAAGACGGUUUUGCUGUCACUUAUAGAUGGAUCCGCGCCGCAUUAGCUAGUUGGUAAGGUAACGGCUUACCAAGGCGACGAUGCGUAGCCGAGCUGAGAGGAUGAUCGGCCACACUGGAACUGAGACACGGUCCAGACUCCUACGGGAGGCAGCAGUAGGGAAUCUUCCGCAAUGGGCGAAAGCCUGACGGAGCAACGCCGCGUGAGUGAUGAAGGUCUUCGGAUCGUAAAGCUCUGUUAUUAGGGAAGAACAAAUGUGUAAGUAACUAUGCACGUCUUGACGGUACCUAAUCAGAAAGCCACGGCUAACUACGUG
rnacentral:rRNA from 1 species